rnacentral:rRNA from 1 species
CGAAUGCUGACAUAAGUAACGAUAAAGCGGGUGAAAAGCCCGCUCGCCGGAAGACCAAGGGUUCCUGUCCAACGUUAAUCGGGGCAGGGUGAGUCGACCCCUAAGGCGAGGCCGAAAGGCGUAGUCGAUGGGAAACAGGUUAAUAUUCCUGUACUUGGUGUUACUGCGAAGGGGGGACGGAGAAGGCUAUGUUGGCCGGGCGACGGUUGUCCCGGUUUAAGCGUGUAGGCUGGUUUUCCAGGCAAAUCCGGAAAAUCAAGGCUGAGGCGUGAUGACGAGGCACUACGGUGCUGAAGCAACAAAUGCCCUGCUUCCAGGAAAAGCCUCUAAGCAUCAGGUAACAUCAAAUCGUACCCCAAACCGACACAGGUGGUCAGGUAGAGAAUACCAAGGCGCUUGAGAGAACUCGGGUGAAGGAACUAGGCAAAAUGGUGCCGUAACUUCGGGAGAAGGCACGCUGAUAUGUAGGUGAAGUCCCUCGCGGAUGGAGCUGAAAUCAGUCGAAGAUACCAGCUGGCUGCAACUGUUUAUUAAAAACACAGCACUGUGCAAACACGAAAGUGGACGUAUACGGUGUGACGCCUGCCCGGUGCCGGAAGGUUAAUUGAUGGGGUCAGCGCAAGCGAAGCUCUUGAUCGAAGCCCCGGUAAACGGCGGCCGUAACUAUAACGGUCCUAAGGUAGCGAAAUUCCUUGUCGGGUAAGUUCCGACCUGCACGAAUGGCGUAAUGAUGGCCAGGCUGUCUCCACCCGAGACUCAGUGAAAUUGAACUCGCUGUGAAGAUGCAGUGUACCCGCGGCAAGACGGAAAGACCCCGUGAACCUUUACUAUAGCUUGACACUGAACAUUGAGCCUUGAUGUGUAGGAUAGGUGGGAGGCUUGGAAGUGUGGACGCCAGUCUGCAUGGAGCCGACCUUGAAAUACCACCCUUUAAUGUUUGAUGUUCUAACGUUGACCCGUGAUCCGGGUUGCGGACAGUGUCUGGUGGGUAGUUUGACUGGGGCGGUCUCCUCCUAAAGAGUAACGGAGGAGCACGAAGGUUGGCUAAUCCUGGUCGGACAUCAGGAGGUUAGUGCAAUGGCAUAAGCCAGCUUGACUGCGAGCGUGACGGCGCGAGCAGGUGCGAAAGCAGGUCAUAGUGAUCCGGUGGUUCUGAAUGGAAGGGCCAUCGCUCAACGGAUAAAAGGUACUCCGGGGAUAACAGGCUGAUACCGCCCAAGAGUUCAUAUCGACGGCGGUGUUUGGCACCUCGAUGUCGGCUCAUCACAUCCUGGGGCUGAAGUAGGUCCCAAGGGUAUGGCUGUUCGCCAUUUAAAGUGGUACGCGAGCUGGGUUUAGAACGUCGUGAGACAGUUCGGUCCCUAUCUGCCGUGGGCGCUGGAGAACUGAGGGGGGCUGCUCCUAGUACGAGAGGACCGGAGUGGACGCAUCACUGGUGUUCGGGUUGUCAUGCCAAUGGCACUGCCCGGUAGCUAAAUGCGGAAGAGAUAAGUGCUGAAAGCAUCUAAGCACGAAACUUGCC